UGCACGCAAAUUUUCUAGAAAAUUUUCCGAGCAACACCGCCGAUUUAUAUAACUCCGAGAGAGAGUCAGAUGCUCUUCGUACGCCAGUUCGCCGGGAAUACUGUUCCUCGAUUGCAUCAAAAUAGAUGCGGACAAACGCUCGAACAGUGUGUACCAUUCAUUCACGCCCCGACACGAAGGAAAUACACUUUCUUCCGUGGAAAUUCUCUCGUCGGAAGGCUCGGUGGCAAUAACAUCGCAACAAAUCGACGCUCGAACGAAGAAUCUUCUGGGAUGAAAUUCUCUAUAUCGGCUGUCUUAUUGGGAUUAAUUUGGACGCUGAGCAUCGCGAACGCAUCGAUGGAAACGUACAGCCACGAUUACAUCUUGAUGGCACCUUUACGCUGUCGCGCCGGUUACGUCCGCCUCGGCGGAAGAUGUCGGAAACUUUUGUAAUUCCAUCGUAUCGCAUAACAAGCAACAAUAAAGUCAGUCGGACGGACAAUAAAGCUUCGA